rnacentral:rRNA from 1 species
GAUCAUGGCUCAGGACGAACGCUGGCGGCGCGCCUAACACAUGCAAGUCGAACGGAGCUUAGAGAGCUUGCUUUUUAAGCUUAGUGGCGAACGGGUGAGUAACGCGUGAGUAACCUGCCCUAGAGUGGGGGGACAACAGUUGGAAACGACUGCUAAUACCGCAUAAGCCCACGGUGCCGCAUGACACUGAGGGAAAAGGAUUUAUUCGCUUUAGGAUGGACUCGCGUCCAAUUAGCUAGUUGGUGAGGUAACGG